GGGCGUGUAGCUCAGUGGGAGAGCGCUGCCCUUACAAGGCAGAUGUCGUAGGUUCAAUCCCUACCACGCCCACCA
rnacentral:tRNA from 1 species